UUCGCCACGUCUAUCUGCUCAUUUUGCGAGAGCAGUUUGCCAAUGGAUUCACGAAUAGAAGGAUGCCAGCUCACGGCGCGGCUCACCGCGUCGUUAAGCGUCAGGCUUCCGGGAGCGGCAACGCUCAACGGUAGAUCGGCCACAGAACCAUCCAGAGAGGGAAGCAUCUGACUGGCUGCCAGCCCUUCCGGCGUAAUAACUUGCGGUUCAUCUUCGGCAUUCGCACGAACGGAACAAAACGUUAAUGCCAGCAUUACAGCGACAGGGGCGACAUUUCUCAUAGUUUAUCCCUUGCAAAAUAGGGCCGUGACGACUGUUAUUGCCCCGGACGUCAUGGCAUCCGGGGCUGUUG
rnacentral:sRNA from 1 species